GGAAUAGGUAACUUAAAUACCCCUUGUGAAUCCAAUUUGCCGAAACAGGUCUUUGACCCCAGAACGUGCAUGUGUGUCCUUUACACGACGUCACGCGCACGUCGGCAUCUUUGAUGCCGUGGGCGGACAUGGUGUUAUAAAUUAGUGUGGAUCCGCAGCGGCUGGCUGCCAACAUGCUGCAGGGGUCAGACAUAUUGACGCAUGGCCACUGAAUGGCACUACCGUGUUUAUUGGCAAGGCAAACACUAUCAUUGUCGCAAGGUGAGGAUGAACAUGUGACAAUAGCAUCGAUUCGAAUGAUUGCAG